rnacentral:rRNA from 1 species
UACGUAGGGGGCGAGCGUUGUCCGGAAUUACUGGGCGUAAAGCGCGCGCAGGCGGCUUGUUAAGUCAGGUGUCAAAAUGCGGGGCUCAACCCCGUAUCGCACUUGAAACUGGCAGGCUUGAGUGCAGGAGAGGGAAGUGGAAUUCCUAGUGUAGCGGUGAAAUGCGUAGAUAUUAGGAGGAACACCAGUGGCGAAGGCGACUUCCUGGACUGUAACUGACGCUCAGGCGCGAAAGCUAGGGGAGCAAACAGGAUUAGAUACCC